rnacentral:rRNA from 1 species
GGAGCAAACAGGAUUAGAUACCCUGGUAGUCCACGCCCUAAACGAUGCGAACUGGACGUUGGGCUCAAUUAGGAGCUCAGUGUCGAAGCUAACGCGUUAAGUUCGCCGCCUGGGGAGUACGGUCGCAAGACUGAAACUCAAAGGAAUUGACGGGGGCCCGCACAAGCGGUGGAGUAUGUGGUUUAAUUCGAUGCAACGCGCAGAACCUUACCUGGCCUUGACAUCCACGGAAUCCUUUAGAGAUAGAGGAGUGCCUUCGGGAACCGUGAGACAGGUGCUGCAUGGCUGUCGUCAGCUCGUGUCGUGAGAUGUUGGGUUAAGUCCCGCAACGAGCGCAACCCUUGUCCUUAGUUGCCAGCGAGUAAUGUCGGGAACUCUAAGGAGACUGCCGGUGACAAACCGGAGGAAGGUGGGGAUGACGUCUAGUCAUCAUGGCCCUUACGGCCAGGGCUACACACGUACUACAAUGGUGGGGACAGAGGGUCGCGAGGCCGCGAGGCGGAGCCAAUCCCAGAAACCCCAUCCUAGUCCGGAUCGGAGUCUGCAACUCGACUCCGUGAAGUCGGAAUCGCUAGUAAUCGCAGAUCAGCAUUGCUGCGGUGAAUACGUCCCCGGGCCUUGUACACCCCGCCCGUCACACACCAUA